rnacentral:siRNA from 1 species
UGCUCAAAUGUCUGGUUGAGUG